rnacentral:misc_RNA from 1 species
UAUUGCGCAUGGGCUAGAGUUGGGAUUGAUAACACAUACUAUUGUGGAGCCAUUCACUAAACCAAUUCAAUUUCCUCCAUUUCCAAAAUAUCUUAUGCCAUUUCAUGAUGUUUACCAACAACCGCAUAAGACGUUCGUAGACAUUAUUGGCAUAGUUGUUCAUUUGGAGCCAUUAAAGUAUAUCGGUGGAAGGCCAUACAGAGAGGCUGUACUAAUGGAUUCCAGGUGGAAUCUAAUUGUCAUGGGGGUAUGGACCGAUCUCCUGCAGAGAAAUGCUCUACGAUGGGCAUUAGCUAAAGUUGACAAGAAUAUAAUUAUUGCAACAAUG